rnacentral:rRNA from 1 species
UACGAAGGGUGCAAGCGUUACUCGGAAUUACUGGGCGUAAAGCGUGCGUAGGUGGUUUGUUAAGUCUGAUGUGAAAGCCCUGGGCUCAACCUGGGAAUUGCAUUGGAUACUGGCAGGCUAGGGUGCGGUAGAGGAUGGCGGAAUUCCCGGUGUAGCAGUGAAAUGCGUAGAUAUUGGGAAGAACACCGAUGGCGAAGGCGGCUCACUGGACCGGAACUGACGCUGAGGCGCGAAAGCGUGGGGAGCAAACAGG